rnacentral:rRNA from 1 species
CCUACGGGUGGCAGCAGUGAGGAAUAUUGGUCAAUGGACGCAAGUCUGAACCAGCCAUGCCGCGUGCAGGAAGACGGCUCUAUGAGUUGUAAACUGCUUUUGUACGAGGGUAAACGCAGAUACGCGUAUCUGUCUGAAAGUAGCGUACGAAUAAGGAUCGGCUAACUCCGUGCCAGCAGCCGCGGUAAGACGGAGGAUUCAAGCGUUCUCCGGAUUUAUUGGGUUUAAAGGGUGCGUAGGCGGUCGGAUACGUUAGAGGUGAAAUCCCGAGGCUCAACUUCGGAAUUGCCUCUGAUACUGUUCGGCUAGAGCGUCGUUGCGGUAGGCGGCAUGUCUGGUGUCGCGGUGUAAUGCUUCGAGCUCCUACAG